UGCCAGCAGCCGCGGUAAUACGGAGGGUGCGAGCGUUAAUCGGAAUUACUGGGCGUAAAGCGCGCGUAGGUGGUUAUUUAAGUGGGAUGUGAAAGCCCCGGGCUCAACCUGGGAACUGCAUUCCAAACUGGGUAACUAGAGUACGUCAGAGGGUAUCGGAAUUUCCCGUGUAGCAGUGAAAUGCGUAGAUAUGGGAAGGAACAUCAGUGGCGAAGGCGGAUACCUGGGAUGAUACUGACACUGAGGUGCGAAAGCGUGGGGAGCAAACAGGAUUAGAUA
rnacentral:rRNA from 1 species